AGUAGGGAAGAAAUCUCAGGAUGUUGCAAAAGCAAAGGCUUUCCAUGGGUCCGUUGCUAAUACUCCUAGAGUGGCCAAAAAAUUCCAACGUGCUGUGAAGAAGCAAAAGUCUGUCCGUGGAUCUGAUGCUGACGCUAAUGGAGUGGGGAACACAUCACAGGAUGUCACGAAGCCAAAGGGUACCCAUGGGUCAUCUGCUGAUGCUCAGGGAGUGGAACAUCUUGCAGUGGGAGACUUUGUGCAGGUGUCGGUUGAAGUAAAGGGAAAGACAACAAGGGAGGAGCUGUUUGUAGCCAAGGUAUGUGUUGCCUCUUUUUUUUUUUAGAAUCUUGUUUUUGUGAUG